AUGACAGUAAUCCUUAUUUCUUGUUUUGCAGAUGAAGAUAUUUUGCUGGAUGUAUUUAUUUUUCCCUCCAGAUCCCUUCUCUGUCAUUUUCCGUUCUGCUCUAUAUCCCAGAGGAACACACAAGCCGCAGAGAGAAGAAGCUGCCCAAGAAUGGAAAGGAAGAAAUAUAUCACAUCAUCUGUCUGUCCACAGGCUUUCCUUGGGGCUUAUGAAGAUUUCCUCGUGGCAGUAAUUUUUCACCCCUUUGAAUUCAGAAGGAUGGCACAGAAAUCUCAGAAACAGUGACCAUCAGCCUAUUUUAGAGCUGCUGAAAUGAGGAAUGGAAUCCGGAUAGUUUUACAGCGCUCUCUACAAGGGCUAAACCCUUUUCCCUUCCAAGUGUUCCUCAUAACAACUCUAAAUUCCUGGAAGUCUGUGGUUAAGAUGAGGUCUGUUUUCUCUGCCUUUGCAGCUUUAGGUCGCUUUUCCAACUUCCUACAAUAUUUAUCUUUGCCUGUGGUUUUGAGCCAUUUGCUGCCUCCUAAUGCCUAACUUUAAAAUAGCACACGUGGCAAAAUGCCAAGAAGGUGG
rnacentral:lncRNA from 1 species